rnacentral:rRNA from 1 species
GAUGAACGCUGGCGGCGUGCCUAAUACAUGCAAGUCGAGCGAACAGACGAGGAGCUUGCUCCUUUGACGUUAGCGGCGGACGGGUGAGUAACACGUAGGUAACCUACCUAUAAGACUGGGAUAACUUCGGGAAACCGGAGCUAAUACCGGAUAAUAUUUCGAACCGCAUGGUUCGAUAGUGAAAGAUGGCUUUGCUAUCACUUAUAGAUGGAGCUGGGCCGUAUUAGCUAGUUGGUAAGGUAACGGCUUACCAAGGCAACGAUACGUAGCCGACCUGAGAGGGUGAUCGGCCACACUGGAACUGAGACACGGUCCAGAAUCCUACGGGAGGCAGCAGUAGGGGAUCUUCCUGAAUGGGCGGAAGACUGACGGAGCAACGACGCGUGAGUGAUGAAGGUCUUCGGAUCGUAAAGAUCUGUUAUUGGGGAAGAACAAGCGUGUAAGUAACUGUGCGCGUCUGGACGGUACCUAGUCAGAAAGCCACGGCUAACUACGUG